ACGAACGCUGGCGGCGUGCUUAACACCUGCCCGUCGAACGGAAAGGCCCCUUUGGGGGUACUCGAGUGGCGAACGGGUGAGUAACACGUGAGUAACCUGCCCUUGACUUCGGGAUAACUUCAGGAAACUGGGGCUAAUACCGGAUAGGAAUCCUUGCUGCAUGGUGGGGGUUGGAAAGCUUCGGCGGUUUUGGAUGGACUCGCGGCUUAUCAGCUUGUUGGUGGGGUAGUGGCUUACCAAGGCUUUGACGGGUAGCCGGCCUGAGAGGGCGACCGGCCACAUUGGGACUGAGAUACGGCCCAGACUCCUACGGGAGGCAGCAGUGGGGAAUAUUGCACAAGGGGCGGAAGCCUGAUGCAGCAACGCCGCGUGCGGGAUGACGGCCUUCGGGUUGUAAACCGCUUUCAGCAGGGGCGAAGCUUGUGGUGACGGUACCUGCAGAAGAAGCACCGGCUAACUACGUG
rnacentral:rRNA from 1 species